UACGUAGGGUGCAAGCGUUUGUCCGGAAUUAUUGGGCGUAAAGAGCUCGUAGGCGGUUCGUCGCGUCGGCUGUGAAAUCCCGAGGCUCAACCUCGGGUCUGCAGUCGAUACGGGGCGGACUGGAGUUCGGCAGGGGAGACUGGAAUUCCUGGUGUAGCGGUGAAAUGCGCAGAUAUCAGGAGGAACACCGAUGGCGAAGGCAGGUCUCUGGGCAUUAACUGACGCUGAGGAGCGAAAGCAUGGGGAGCGAACAGG
rnacentral:rRNA from 1 species